UAACUUAGUGGCGGACGGGUGAGUAACGCGUGGGGAACCUGCCCUGCACCGGGGGAUAACACCUGGAAACAGGUGCUAAUACCGCAUAAGCGCACGAGGCCGCAUAGCCAGGUGUGAAAAACUAAGGUGGUGCAGGAUGGACCCGCGUCUGAUUAGCUGGUUGGUAGGGUAACGGCCUACCAAGGCGACGAUCAGUAGCCGGCCUGAGAGGGUGAACGGCCACAUUGGGACUGAGACACGGCCCAAACUCCUACGGAAGGCAGCAG
rnacentral:rRNA from 1 species